UGUUACCAAGAGACAUGAGUUACCUGUACUGACUUUCUCCUCCAGGUCUUUAUCCCUGUUUUAUGGAUUAAGAUCUCCUACCUUUGAAGUGAUACUUUGUGGACAAGCCAGUCUCUGGUGACAGAUAUCAUGGGUGGAGUGCUGCUACAAUGGCCCCUGAAAGCUUCAUCUUGCUUUGGAGGUCAGUUCUUCCAGUUUUGCACCAGUGAAGUGCUAUUUGGCUACACAUUCAUGAAUUUGCAUGUAUUUCUAUGUCGUUAAAUAUGUUCCAAGUGCAUCUGCCAAAUUGUCAUGAAGGUAUUUGAAAGAGUAGAUAGAAGAAAUAAAAUAUAUAGAAUUACAAUAAUAAGAGCAAAGGUGGUGGAGUGAUAACCUUUGCUUUGUUUUCUUCGGAUUUUGAGAUUUAAAGUACAAAUCAUGCACAAUGUACAUACAUCCCAUGCUACAAUUAUCUCUUUGUCUAUUCUACCAUCAGUAGCAAUAUGUUUUAUUCUCUCUGUUGCUCAUGAAUGCUUUUCUAGUGUUAUCUCUCACUGUCCCAGGAUACAGUGAUAACUAUUAGAAACAUGAGUUUCAUUUGGCUUUUGUAUGCUGCUUGGCAUAUUUGGUUGAAAGACUCAGGAGUGAAUUGUUCUGCAUUCAAAUAAAACACAGAAGAGUUGACAGCUCUACAGGCUUUUCCAAAUCAACCAGCUGGUGCAGGAAAAAGAAAUUGAAUAUUAAACAUCUGUAAGAUAAAAUUGAAGGCAGUGAUUUUUCAACAAAUUUCAGUGAAUGGGUCUGAAUAGAACAUAUAUUGAGAUUAAUCAUUUUAGAUCUGGAAGUUAAAUUCAAUAAAUGGUUGCAUCAAAAUGUUUACCCUUCAGUUA